GGCGCGUUCCGGGCUGUGAUAGGAGCUGCUCAUUCAGUGUUUGUGGAGUCUCUACCUCGGGCUCCGCACUGACAUGGGCUGUAGGCAGCGCAGAGAAUAAAACAUACAAAAACAAGAACAAUUUUGAAAGAAACAACCCUGCUGCUCCCAUGGAGCUGACGCCGCGGAGGGGGACAGACAGGAAGCAGGCCUGGGACCCCGUGAGAACAGUUCCUCCGGGUGGGGCAGCCACAGUGAGUGCUGACAAGCCGGCCCUGGGUGCUGCGCAGGAAUGAGAGAAUACCUCUCCAGGAAACAGCUCUCACCAGACAAGUGCUGCCAACUUGAUCUUGGACUCCCCAGCCUCCAGAACUG